rnacentral:rRNA from 1 species
GAUGAACGCUGGCGGCGUGCCUAAUACAUGCAAGUCGAGCGAACAGACGAGGAGCUUGCUCCUCUGACGUUAGCGGCGGACGGGUGAGUAACACGUGGAUAACCUACCUAUAAGACUGGGAUAACUUCGGGAAACCGGAGCUAAUACCGGAUAAUAUAUUGAACCGCAUGGUUCAAUAGUGAAAGACGGUUUUGCUGUCACUUAUAGAUGGAUCCGCGCCGCAUUAGCUAGUUGGUAAGGUAACGGCUUACCAAGGCAACGAUGCGUAGCCGACCUGAGAGGGUGAUCGGCCCCACUGGACCUGAGACCCGGUCCAGACUCCUACGGGAGGCAGCAGUAGGGAAUCUUCCGCAAAGGGCGAAAGCCUGACGGAGCAACGCCGCGUGAGUGAUGAAGGUCUUCGGAUCGUAAAACUCUGUUAUUAGGGAAGAACAAAUGUGUAAGUAACUAUGCACGUCUUGACGGUACCUAAUCAGAAAGCCACGGCUAACUACGUG